ACAUUUUGAUUGGCAAGGAAUUUCCUAAUUCCUUGUAUUAAAUUCAUGAGGCAAAUAUAUUGGAAUAUGGUUGAAUUUUAUUAAUGAAAGAAAACAGCAUUUAACCAAGUUUUGUGGAAAGGUAUGCAUUUGUUUAUUGUUGGGAGUGUUUUUUCAUUAAUUUAAACCUAACACAUGAUAAAUGAAUUUGUAUUAAUUAAUAAAUGUUGUUAC
rnacentral:lncRNA from 1 species